GACAGAGGGUGCAAACGUUGUUCGGAAUUACUGGGCGUAAAGCGCGUGUAGGCGGCCCAGCAAGUCGGAUGUGAAAGCCCUGGGCUUAACCUAGGAAGUGCAUUCGAAACUGCUGGGCUUGAGUUCUGGAGAGGGAAGCGGAAUUCUCGGUGUAGAGGUGAAAUUCGUAGAUAUCGAGAGGAACACCGGUGGCGAAGGCGGCUUCCUGGACAGUAACUGACGCUGAGACGCGAAAGCGUGGGGAGCAAACAGG
rnacentral:rRNA from 1 species